rnacentral:rRNA from 1 species
GAUGAACGCUGGCGGCGUGCCUAAUACAUGCAAGUCGAGUGAAUGGAUUAAGAGCUUGCUCUUAUGAAGUUAGCGGCGGACGGGUGAGUAACACGUGGGUAACCUGCCCAUAAGACUGGGAUAACUCCGGGAAACCGGGGCUAAUACCGGAUAACAUUUUGAACCGCAUGGUUCGAAAUUGAAAGGCGGCUUCGGCUGUCACUUAUGGAUGGACCCGCGUCGCAUUAGCUAGUUGGUGAGGUAACGGCUCACCAAGGCAACGAUGCGUAGCCGACCUGAGAGGGUGAUCGGCCACACUGGGACUGAGACACGGCCCAGACUCCUACGGGAGGCAGCAGUAGGGAAUCUUCCGCAAUGGACGAAAGUCUGACGGAGCAACGCCGCGUGGGUGAGGAAGGCUUUCGGGUCGUAAAACUCUGUUGUUAGGGAAGAACAAGUGCUAGUUGAAUAAGCUGGCACCUUGACGGUACCUAACCAGAAAGCCACGGCUAGCUACGUGCCAGCCGCCGCGGUAA